rnacentral:snoRNA from 1 species
AUUCAUUCAGCUCUGGCAAUAACACAGGUCCAGUGUAUGCUUGGUGGAUUUUCAAGCAAGAGAAGGGGAUGGCCUUCCUAAUGCACAGCAGACCUGCCCCAAAGUGGCUUCUCUGUUCCCAAGAGUACAUCAGCU